AACGAACGCUGGCGGCAUGCCUAACACAUGCAAGUCGAACGCCUGUAGCAAUACAGGAGUGGCGCACGGGUGAGUAACGCGUGGGAACCUGCCCUGGAGUGGGGGAUAACCCGGCGAGAGCCGGGCUAAUACAGCAUACGACCUGAGGGUGAAAGAUUUAUCGCUCUAGGAGGGGCCCGCGUCGGAUUAGCUAGUUGGUG
rnacentral:rRNA from 1 species